rnacentral:rRNA from 1 species
AGAGUUUGAUCCUGGCUCAGAUUGAACGCUGGCGGAAUGCUUUACACAUGCAAGUCGAACGGCAGCACGGGUGCUUGCACCUGGUGGCGAGUGGCGAACGGGUGAGUAAUGCACCGGAACGUAUCCAAUAAUGGGGGAUAACGCACCGAAAGGUGUGCUAAUACCGCAUACGCCUGAGGGGGAAGCGGGGGAUCGUAAGACCUCGCGUUAAUGGAGCGGCCGAUGCCGGAUUAGCUAGUUGGUGAGGUAAAGGCUCACCAAGGCGACGAUCCGUAGCUGGUCUGAGAGGACGACCAGCCACACUGGAACUGAGACACGGUCCGGACUCCUACGGGAGGCAGCAGUGGGGAUUUUGGACAAUGGGCGCAAGCCUGAUCCAGCCAUUCCGCGUGAGUGAAGAAGGCCUUCGGGUUGUAAAGCUCUUUCGCAAGGAAAGAAAACUUAUCUCCUAAUACGAGGUGAGGUUGACGGUACCUUGAUAAGAAGCACCGGCUAACUACGUG